GACGGAGGAUGCAAGCGUUAUCCGGAAUGAUUGGGCGUAAAGCGUCUGCAGGUGGCAGUUCAAGUCUGCUGUCAAAGACCGGGGCUUAACUUCGGAAAGGCAGUGGAAACUGAACAGCUAGAGUAUGGUAGGGGCAGAGGGAAUUCCUGGUGUAGCGGUGAAAUGCGUAGAGAUCAGGAAGAACAUCGGUGGCGAAGGCGCUCUGGCUGGACCAUAACUGACACUCAGGGACGAAAAGCUAGGGGAGCGAAUGGG
rnacentral:rRNA from 1 species